AGAUUUCUGUCCAGCUGGCCAGGGAGCCCGGAAUGGGUUCCCUCAAAGAGCUCCUAGGAGGUGUCAAGACUACAUCUUCAGUUACCUGCAAGCCCAAUAUUUCCUUACGUUUCCUGGGAGAAAAAGAGGUCUCAAUCUUCCUGUUCUUCAUCGACAUGAGCAGAAGGGUGGGAAGUCCAGCUGGGAGGCUGCAGUGGACCCAGGCUAUAACCCAUGCUCUUCUGCACUGCAGUGGAUGCCUCCUGUGUCCCUGCUGGAUCCUCCUCAGCUGUGAACUGAGCCUAGGCAGCCUAAGGAGAGAGUUUGCUCUCUAGUCUUAGAGGGACCAAGGUCUGCCAAUGAGAACAGGAAGAGCAUACAUUCAUGGGGAGAAGAUGUCAGUGGGCAAUGUUGUCAUCCCUCCCUCUUCAUGGACUUCUCGAAUUUAUCAGAGUUCCUCCGGAGCCAGGAAGUAGAGCACACCCUGGAUUAUUACACCUAAAUAUUUAGUAACAUUUUCCUGACCCACCUCUUUGGUAAAUACACUUGUGCUCUUAUGAACAAAGGUAUGGCCUCUGUGAGUUCAUUGUCAAUGAUGUAGACAUCUGUCUUCAUGAAGUGAAAUAUGAAGAAGAGACUUGAAGUGUACUCAUGAAGGGAGCACUUUGCCUCUGGUCACACUUAUCCUCAAGGAAUCCUGUUUGUCCUUUGGACCUGAAAUUUAUCAUAGCUCUGGGGAAACUCCAGCUCUCUUUCCUGGAUUAGCCAGGAGCCCCAAGACAGUCUUGGUCAAGAACCUGGUCUUCCUAACUUUGCCACAUUUAUCAAAAAUAACCAAGUCCAGAACAGGACUCACCCCAGGUCUCUUAAAUUUCAAGUCUCCUGUAGGAGAUUCAUCUCACUCUUGACUUUAUGGUGUACUAAUGGGGCUGUGGGUUCCAAACAAGCAUAUAGUGCUGCCAAUCCCAGGGGCACCAGAGUUCUGCUUUCCAUGGUAGCAGGAGGCUCUGCUCUUACAUGUUGCAAUACUCUUGUAAACAGCAACAUCCAGGUAGGUCUGCUUCCAGCUCCAUCUCUCCUGGUCUAACUGAGGCUCCUGUACAGUCACAAAGAGAUUAUACUCCACCCAACCCUCAAUUAAAGGGAAAUACAGGAAGACUCAGGUCUCCUAGUAAUUCCCUUCUUUCCAACACAAGACACAUUGGAGGCAUAAUCUCUGCCCUGACAGAAAUCACUCUGAGUCUGUGAUGGUCUAGGCUUCCCAUACUCAGAGCACCAGGCUAAGAACCAGGUCUGUUAGAGAGCUUUUCCUUAGAGUCCAUAGUCUAUACUUUGCCUGGGAAGGAAUUCUAUAUAUGCAUCUUGCUGAGUUUCUAAAAUUGAGGGGUACACCUAUUGAAAGCAGAGUUGGACUUCAUGUGUGACCCCAGGCAUAUAAACAGUUAUCAGAAAAUACUUGGGACAAAGUGACAGCUCCUGCUGCUUUUGAUAGUGUAUGCACAUUAACUCCACUCUUUGUCCAGACCUAAGUAUCAUGCAGAAAGAUAUGCCAACCUGAAGGGUGCUCCAGUUCCAUCCAAGAACAGGAAUGAAAUGUAUAUUGCUCCUUCCUGGUUACUAUCAUUGCAUCUUUUGGAUCUUUAAAUUUAUGGUGUGUUUGUUUGUUUUGUGUGGGAGUGGGGGCUGUGUGUGUGCAGUGACCCUGGUGAUAAUGAUUUCUGGACAGACUUGUCCCUUGAAGUGUGGUUUUGUACUUUGUCCUCCUGUUCUUCAUCUCCUUCUCAUUAUCCUCCUCUUCAUACUCCUUUUUCUUCUCCUCCUUUUUUGAGAUUUUACUACAUCCUUCUGGGCAGGAAGGGGCUCAAACAUUUAGAGUGACAUUAGCCAAAGAUGGCAGUGAGAUUUAGACCUGGUGACACAAGAAGAAUGCAAGUAAGGCAAAACAGGAUAAAAAAUUAAAAGAAAAUUCAGGGAAAACUUUAGGGAUACUGGUGAAAGAGUAGGGUAUGUUUGAAGCAACCUAUCAGAAAUGAUUAUUUCUGUGACAUCAUUUCUCCGGGGAGCACCUGGGUGCCCUCACCUUGAGCAUCAUGCAUGACAUACAGUCCACUCAAGUGGCAGGAGAGGUGUCGCAGGGAAACCUAGGUCAGCUGGUCACUGAGAUAAGUUGAGGACUUUCCAGGUGCACAGGCAAGGAGCACUGGUUGGCAUCAUGAUAUUCUGAAUCCUGGUCUGGCUCCAUUGCCACACCCAUUCCAGUGGAGUGUGCAUGACAAGUCCAAUAGCUUGGCUGUAGUCCUGAGAUACAAAUUUUCACAGAAACUGGUCUCCUGGAGAGUCUUUGUCAUUCCAUAACAGGGAUGUGGUCCAGAUAGGUCCUGGCCAUGGUCAGUGAUGGGCUUAGAGUGCUUUCUUUCAGGAUUGUUUUAUUAUAGGUGCCCCCAAGGAAUGAUUUGACUUAUUCAGACAAAAAUGCCUUCAGUGUUGAAAGAGAUAGUGAAACAAAUCAGGCAUUGCAGUUUACUGGGUAAGAGUAGAAAUCUCAGGGCAAGUUCUACAAAGUAAACUUAGAAUAACAGCCGAGUCACUCUCAUAUGCUGGAAUUUACAAUGGUCUAGGAAGUAGGAGGGUUGUGGUUUAGGAGCAACUAGAGUAUUGCAUUAUUCAGGAAAAGUUUAGCAAGAGAAGAAGCCCCCUGUUGGUGGCUUAUACAAUAGACUAGAAUUGUGACUAGGGUAUGAAAUCCUCAGCAGCCUCCUAGAAUAGCUGACUUUAGAUAGGGCCACUUUUAUCUCAAUUGUAGCCACUGACUGGUUCCUUUCAGUCUUUAUGUAUGCAUUACUCUGUUUUGUGUAAAGAAUCAUUAUGCAUCAGAUCACCUCAAUGUAUCUAUCACCUAACUUCCUUGUUUUCUUCUGUAAUGUAAAUCUGAUGCUCGCUUUGGAAAAUUACAUUCAGUUCCA
rnacentral:lncRNA from 1 species